rnacentral:rRNA from 1 species
CAGUCGCCACGGUAAUACAGAGGGUGCGAGCGUUAAUCGGAUUUACUGGGCGUAAAGCGUGCGUAGGCGGCUUCUUAAGUCGGAUGUGAAAUCCCUGAGCUUAACUUAGGAAUUGCAUUCGAUACUGGGAAGCUAGAGUAUGGGAGAGGAUGGUAGAAUUCCAGGUGUAGCGGUGAAAUGCGUAGAGAUCUGGAGGAAUACCGAUGGCGAAGGCAGCCAUCUGGCCUAAUACUGACGCUGAGGUACGAAAGCAUGGGGAGCAAACAGGAUUAGAUACCCCAGUAGUCCAUGUCUCUUAUAA